rnacentral:rRNA from 1 species
GACAGAGGUGCCAAGCGUUAGGCGGAAUCACUGGGCUUAAAGCGUGUGUAGGCGGAUCGUUAAGUACCUUGUGAAAUCCCACGGCUCAACCGUGGAACUGCUCGGUAUACUGGCGAUCUUGAGCCACCUAGGGGCAACUGGAACAAGCGGUGGAGCGGUGAAAUGCGUAGAUAUCAGGAGGAACACCGGUGGCGAAGGCGGGUCUCUGGGCCGAUACUGACGCUGAGGAGCGAAAGCGUGGGGGGCGAACAGG